AAAAAGGAAGCUCAGAGCCAGGCGUGGUGGUGCAUGACUCUAAUCCCUGCAACUCAGGAGGCUGCAGCAGGAGGAUCACUUAGGGCGAGUAAUUUGAGGCUGCAGUGAGCCAUGCUUGUUCCGCUGCACUCCAGCCUGGGCGACAGAGCAAGACCCUAACUCUAAAAAAUAAAGAAUAAAGCAGCUCAGGCUGAAGCUGGAGCAGAGGGUUACUGCGAUCAGUUGUGCAUUUCUGGAGGUUCACCCCGGCAGCAUGUGCAGGAUGUACUGGAAGAGGGAGACAGAACACCUCAGGCCCCCGAAUAGAUUGGUCCUUGGGUCAGCAAGACUCAGGUGACACCCAGACAGAGGCCCCCACCCCGCGGGCUCUGUUCCUCUGUAGGACCUUGUGCUCAUCAAGAAUACAGACGUGCAGGCAGCCCGCCUGGGAAACAUCAUCCACGCCAUGAUCAUGUAUCGCCGUAAACUGGACCGUGAAGAAAUCAAGCCUGUGAUGGCACUGGGCAUAGUGCCUAUGUGCUCCUACCAGAUGGAGAGGAUGUUCA
rnacentral:lncRNA from 1 species